UUUAGGGAACUGUGUCACCAUGACACCAGGGAGUUUGGAGAGUAAAUCCCAGUGAGUAGGAGGCUCCUGGGGGGUGAUGGGGGACACCCCGAUUGUGUUUGGGACUGGAUGUCAAAGCCCCAGUGAGGGAGAGCUGGGAGAUCAGACUGGGACAGAAGAGCCUUGGGGAUGAGAAAAUGCCAGAGCUAAGAUUAAAGAAGAGACCUCCCCAUGUGCCCAUCUAAUAAAAUACAGACUUGCCAGUCUUACAAGAAUGCUCUUGGGAAAUACCCGGGUCAAAAGAUACACUACCAGAAGUAUUCAUUGAAGUUCAUUCAAGAUUUGGGUGUAUAUACCCACGGGAGCGAAGUGUGGCAUAAGAAUCAUUCCAAGUGUGAAAGGCAUCAUCAGUUUUUGCACUGAAUAGAUUUGAGCUCUUGAACAGAAGAUUCUCCACUGUUCAUUGAACUUCCCUGGGGAUUCCUGAACUCUGGAGACAAGAUGUGUGCUUCAUGAUCACAGAAGUAGCCAUAAAUUGUGAGGCAGUAGCAGCAGCAUCUAGAGCUGCUUGCAAAGAUGUUCAUUAUACACCUCUACCUGGAUAUAACGCGACCCGAUAUAACAUGAAUUCGGAUAUAACGCGGUAAAGCAGCGCUCUGGGGAAGCGGGGCUGCGCACUCCGGCGGAUCAAAGCAAGUUCGAUAUA